AUUUCUUUUGCAUACGGCAUCUGCUGUAGCUAUAGCAUUGGCACUGAUCCUGCAUGGUGCACCUCGCCAUGGCCAAACCAAUAUAAUGAUUUGUAUAGGAAUGUGCUCCAUAAUCGGAUCGUUGACAGUUAUGGGCAUAAAAGCCAUUGGCAUUGCAAAUUUGCAAUCAAACUCACAUUAGAGGGGACAAACCAGCUUGAAUAGUUUCAGACAUGGAUUUUUGGUCAUCACCCAAUUAAAUUAUCUAAACAUGGGCAUGCAUAUAAGUUGAGAAGGGCAUGCAGGCGAGCGAGACGACCAGAAAUUCAGAAUACAGCUUGUUAUUUUAUACAUGCCUAUAUAUAUCUUAUUUAUGCGAUCGAGUCCUAUAACUCACAA